rnacentral:antisense_RNA from 2 species
CUCUAUGGCGGACUGCGUGGGGAGACCGAAAGGUCUGCCGGUCUACAUCUCGCCGGUUCGUCAACCCCACGUGGUCCGCCACCCUU